rnacentral:rRNA from 1 species
UGAUGGCUCAGUGAGGCGUUCGGACUGGCCCAGAGGAGUCGGCAACGACACCUCAGGGCCGGAAAGUUCUCCAAACUCGGUCAUUUAGAGGAAGUAAAAGUCGUAACAAGGUCUCCGUUGGUGAACCAGCGGAGGGAUCAUUACAGAGUUACCUAACUCCAAACCCAUGUGAACUUACCUAUGUUGC